CCCCAAAAGAAAAGAAAUAAUCCUUUGUCUAUAGAUAAAGGAUACGUCCUCUUUUAACCCUAAAUUCUGAAAUCACUAGAUCUGAAAAAUUGCCUCUCUUCUCAACCUCUCUCCAUGGAUCACUGGGACCUGUACUCUGCCGUGAAAUUCCCCGAUAUUUGUGACACGGACAUAAAAACCCCCGUAUUCUCGUUGGGUUAUUGUCGUUGCGGGAUACGACCCAUCGGCCAUCGCUUCCUGCGGAUGAAAUCAAGAAGGCGUUAACCGAUCAUUUCCGUUCGUGUGGAGCCAGGGCCGGUCCAUGGGUAAAGCCCAUGAAGCAAGGGCUUUAGGCAUCAAAUAAUUAUAAGUAGUUUUAGGGGCAUCAAUUUUUAAAAUGUUACUGUAGUCUAGUGGUUAGAUUGAAGUCUUUUGUUGUACCGGUCACGGUUUCGAAUCUCAUACAUGUUAAAACUUGUAUUUUUUUUUUAUAACAGCUUUUGUUAAUGGGCCAAAUUUUUUUUUGCUUUAGGCACUCAAAUAGUUUGGGCCGGCCCUGUGUAGAGCAAUCCUUAACGUUGAAAUGCCCGGACACCCCGUGGAAAGUUCUGUUAUUGUCGUGGGAGAUGACGCAAAUGAGAAGGCGUUGGAACUUAAUGGAAGUGAAAUGGGUGGACGGAAACUUGUUGUUACUGCUAGGCCUUUUCCUAUGCUGGUAAGAAAGGAUGUUCCUUUUGCUUAAAAAGAUGACGGAGGAGUAGAAGAAAGCUCGCGACGCGAAGUGGUGUUUUCAGAUCGUGAUACAAUGCAACCUUAACCUUUUACAAAAAAAAUUUAAACUCAUUUGACGGAAGAACAGAGAGUAGUUGAGAACUUUAACACCACGAGGUCCAUGACUUUAAUUUGGUGGUUUAUAAGUAAACUUGUUAUGAAAUGGGAUAGAUUUUAUUGAAUAACCGAUAAAGCUUCAAUGGAAAAAGAGAAGAAAGUAAUCGUCA